GUCAAAGUAGCUCAGCCAGGAGCGCAUUAGACUGAAGAUUUAAAGGUCCCUGCUUGAAUCCCAGGCUUCGGCA
rnacentral:tRNA from 1 species